GGAUUAGAUACCCCGGUAGUCCACGCCGUAAACGAUGAUAACUAGAUGUUGGGCAGCUUAGACUGUUCGGUAUCGAAGCUAACGCGAUAAGUUAUCCGCCUGGGGAGUACGGUCGCAAGAUUAAAACUCAAAGGAAUUGACGGGGGCCCGCACAAGCGGUGGAGCAUGUGGUUUAAUUCGAUGCAACGCGAAGAACCUUACCUACCCUUGACAUCCAGAGAAUCCUGCAGAGAUGCGGGAGUGCCGAAAGGAUUCUGAGACAGGUGCUGCAUGGCUGUCGUCAGCUCGUGUUGUGAGAUGUUGGGUUAAGUCCCG
rnacentral:rRNA from 1 species